UACGAAGGGGGCUAGCGUUGUUCGGAAUUACUGGGCGUAAAGCGCACGUAGGCGGCUUUGUAAGUUAGAGGUGAAAGCCCGGGGCUCAACUCCGGAAUUGCCUUUAAGACUGCAUCGCUAGAAUUGUGGAGAGGUAAGUGGAAUUCCGAGUGUAGAGGUGAAAUUCGUAGAUAUUCGGAAGAACACCAGUGGCGAAGGCGACUUACUGGACACAUAUUGACGCUGAGGUGCGAAAGCGUGGGGAGCAAACAGG
rnacentral:rRNA from 1 species